rnacentral:sRNA from 1 species
GCGAGAAAGCGUUGCCGCAGGCAACGACCCGAAGGGCGAAGCGCGUAGCGCUGAGUCAUCCUUCUCCCACCACCA